UUCUGCUCCAUGGGUAACUAAAUAGCCGCAGUACCCUGACUGUGCAAAGGUAGCAUAAUCAUUUGACUUAUAAUUGAAGUCUGGCAUGAAUGAACAUACGGGUAAUAACUGUCUUAAAAUAGUUUAUACUAAAUUAAUUAUCAAGUGCAAAUGCUUGAAAUGGUAAAUAAGACGAGAAGACCCUAGAAGCUUUACAAUUUUGUUGGGGCGACAGAAUUACAGACGAACUUAUUUUAUCAUACAUGCAACGAAGGUGAUAGAUUAAGCUACUCUAGGGAUAACAGCAUAAUUUAUAAAAGUUUGUGACCUCGAUGUUGGACUAGGUAAAAUAAUUCUUAGAAGGCAUUAUUUUUGGCUCUGUUCGAGCAGUGUUAACCUACGUGAUCUGAUUUCAGACCGGA
rnacentral:rRNA from 1 species